CCCCCACGUCUCUCUAUCUUCUUCAACGCAAAUUGUCAUGUCUCCUUAAAUGAAGCAGAUCUCUUCUAAUCUACUUGAAGCUUCUAAUUCUUGUUUCGCUCCGAUUUUCCCACGGAGAUUUUCCCUAAUUUCUCUUCUGAUCUCAGUUUUAUCCACUUCUGAUCUACACAAUUCACUUGGCUCUUUCUAAACCUUUUGUCAGCUUGAUAUUCACGAUCAAAUGCUGCUUUCUUCACAAAGAUAUUUAGAGUAGCAACGGAGUUGGAUUGGAAGCGAGAUGCUUUUCGCUUUUAGUUUUAGGGGACAAAAGUUUGGCAUCAAAGACUGAUAAAGUAAUUGAUAGUUCACAAUUAAGUACUUGUUGUAUGGACAAAAUUAUACCCCAACUUUGUAGCACUUGCUGGUGUAUCAUAGUUUUGUUGCUGUGGCUGGCUAAGCUGGAGAUGGACAGGUACAUGUGAUUCCUCUCCCAUGCCCAGACCAUUUGUGAGAAGGGAAUUCCUGUUUGCUCCAUUUACUUCUCUGGUUCCAUAAACCUGGGAUGUAAAAAUAUGCUGAUGAGGGUGGAAUAAAACACCGUACAAUUUCAUUCAGGACUAAGGUAUUGACGGUUUGAAUCGAUAUUUUGCAAAUAAGUUUCUGCAUGCUCAAACUUCUACCUUCUUAUACAAUUCUUGAUUUUCAUGACAAAUUAGGUUUGCCUUCUUAUAGAGUUCCAUAUUUUCUUGGUGAAUGAGGUUUCCCUGCAACAGAUACAUCAAGUUCAGCUACUUGAAUUAAAAAACUUAUGUAAAGGAAGUUAGUAGCUUUUGUCUACAGGCCUACCUUUCUAUUUAGUUCUAGUAUUUCAUCCAUUAAAUUUUGGUCCUGAUGAAAUCAAUAUCAGUAUCAGUGAGAUGAAUGUGCUCCACAUCUUGGAAAUUUACUGCACACUGGGGUUUUAGGAAUUUCAAACCUUUUUCAUGCGAACACCCCGGAGACUCAUUUCCAAUUGGUUCUCCAAAUUCUGCAAAUCCUUUACGCUUAAGCCAGAAAGUUCUUCACCCAUCAUUUGCCUGCUAUCAUCAUAUGGAAAUGUAAACUUUGCUAGCUAGGCAUAUAGUGAAAAGCAAUAAUUCAUUUCAUCCUCUUACAGUAUUCAGUUUCUGAAGGAUUUUUCAAUAGCAUUAAGCUGUCGCGGAUGCUUCCUUUUAUGUUCAGAUGCAAAUCUUUUCCUCUCAUGGUUAUUUUUCUUGUUUAGUUCUACUAUGAGAAAACAGUUGGUCCUUUCCUCACUUGUGCGGGUCUAUUCAUGUUUCCUUAGUUUUCCAUUGUUUGUACAUAAAAUAAAUAUUCUAGUUGUUUAGUUAAUCUUCGAAAGACAUUAUGGAAAUUACUUGCUCUAGUUUUAGAAGUUGCAGAUAGUUUAUUGAAAUUGUUUAAUUGGCUUAUAAGUCAUUGGUUUAACACUGAUAAAAUUUCUGGGGGUCCUAAACAAGACCAGCACUACUUGAAUAUGUUUAGGAGAGGAUAUGUGGCUGAUGCCUUCUUGUGCCCCCCUUUGCUCCUGAUGCACAAUGUUGACAUUCUUUUCAGGUGACUGAGAUGAACUUUUUCAGUGUGGCACAAGUGAAUCUUUUGUGUGUCUAAAUUGUUAAUGAUCACGUGGACACUAGUGAUACCUGCAAGCAUCUGACCUUAAAUAAUAGCAUGCUCCAUCAGAAGUUUCAGUUUUUCAUAUUCAACCUUAAAUAAUAGCAUGCUCCAUCAGAAGUUUCAGUUUUUCAUAUUCAACCUUAAAUAAUAGCAUGCUCCAUCAGAAGUUUCAGUUUUUCAUAUUUAGUCUGUCGCAAUUACUCUGAUGUCACUCUUUAUGUUCAUUUAUCUCAUAUAAAACAACAUUGGUCAAAGGGAAUGGAUCAUACCGAUGAUUUUCUUGCAAGUUUUGCAGUUGCUGUCUCAACAUUGCCGUCUCCCUUUGCCAGAACUAGCAAAUAUAAUGCACAAUUUAGUGGAAUUGCUAACUUUUGUGGUCAACAUGCAUACACCAAAAUGAAGAGUAAUUGGCUUCUAUUGUUAUGAAAACACAUCUGAAGAGAAAUAGAUAAAAAAAAAACAUCUAUCUGUUUCAAGGCUGAGAAGCCACCCUCUGAUCUCCAUGUAAUGGUUAUGAUUUAUUACACCAUGUUUUUUCUUUUCCGUGUCUGAUGACCAUCCCCUCUCUGAUAUCCAUGUAGCUCUCCCCCAAUUUUUCUCUAUAAAACUAGGAAGUGUUUUUCUUGUUUACUAUCUUCACACAAAUGUGCUUCAAGAUGACAUCUAUUGUUCUUGCUACUGAUAAAAUGUCUUGUGAGUUCUAUCUUCACGCAAAUGGUCCCAAUCCCGGAUAAAGGACAGAAAUGGUCCCAAUCCUGGAUAAAGGACAGUUGCAGUUAGCAGAGGUCCAGUGUAAGAUAUGUAGCUACACCUUAUAACUUGAAUCAAUCAAUAAGGCUUGACUGUGUUGAGUUCAUGUGCUUUAUGAUAAUUUGACAUAAUACAUAUUUAUCUAUUCAGGUGGUUAUAUUUAUUUAAUCAGUUGUUUCAUGCUUUGCCUAAGCCUGAAUACAUGAAUGUUGUCAUAUAAUGUGUGUUUAUCCUGCUAAUUUAUAACAGAUAAUACAAGGCUGAUUUCCUGUCAAUAGUUUGAAGCUUAAUGAAGUACUCUUCAUUGGGAUGAACUGAACUUCAAUAUUAGUUGAUUUUGCUGCACGAUUUUGGCAUUUCAUUUUCCUGUUGCUUUUAACUUGGAGGAUAUCUAUAGUAAGACAGUACAUUCAUGCAGCGAACACCAGGCAUUCCCAUUGUCAUUGUCUAUUUUUUUUUUUUUUUGUAUUUAUCAUGUGCUAAAAUAUCAGAAUCCAGUUGAGAAAUAUAAUUGGUUUCUGUUCGUCAUCCCUAAGUCAUUUUGGACUCAAAAAAUUGAUAUGUUAUUUCCUUCAGCAAUAGUAGAACUGGGAACUAUACUGGUUUUGUAAUUGGCGACAAUUUUUUACGUUCAUGUUCAAAUGGCUCUUUGCCUCUUUGCAAUCAUAUCAAAGGCCAUGUCCUAGAUGUGGCACAUCUUAUCUGUAGUCUGUACAACUGUAUCUUCAGUUCCAUUCUUUAUAGCCUCAUUAUGCCUGAUACUUUCUUUAGUUAGAUAAUUAGAUUGCCCAUGUUAGUUCACAUAUACUACAGAUAAAUUACCAGAAACAUUAAGAUUUUCUUACUUUAUUAACUCCUUUUGUGAAACAAAAUAUCUCAACCCUUGGAUGUCAUAAUGCUAUGUUUGUAAGUAUAGCUCGCACAAUAGGUGCAGACUUUUAGCUGAAAUACAAAAUUGUUAAAUACAGUAUCUUUUAUUGUAAACAAAAAAGAAAAGAAAAGAGCUGUAGUUGUUGCUCCUGUUGGUAAUAGCAUUGUUUAAAGUAGCAAAAGCAAAGUUCAACAUGAUGAUUGUAUUUGAAGCUAUCUUUGAUGAAAAUGCAAUGUUGAAAAACUAGAGAUGUGUAAGCUGUUUCUCUGAAGUAAAAGUAGUCAAUCAAAAUCUACAUAUUCUUUUUAAUGCAUACCCAAAUUUUAUGUAUAAAUGUGGCAAAAAUAAGGCAAAUCAAAUUUUGUUAGAAGUCAUAAAAUCUAAAUUCACUGGGUACUGAAAUACCUUGAGUUCUGAGGUUGGGUUGCCCAUUAGAUGAUGCACCUCUUUUGAUUUGUUGUAUCGUUCAAUGACUGAUUUCAUGCUGCAAGAGCAGAUUUAUAUUGCAUCAGGGAUGGGUGCCGUGUUCUAUGUGAAUGCUUUCUAAUAACACUUAAGAACAAAAUGUAUGGAAUCACCGCAAGGAUAAUUUCUCGACGAAGCAGAAUGGACACAUUUAAACUAUAUCAUUCAUGUGUGGAAGAAGUCAUUUGAGUUGCCCUGGCUAUAGGAGUUUAAGCUGCCAGUGGAAUAUCCAUAAAGAAAAUCUAGUCUGCAAGUGGAUAGCAAUUGGAGCACCAUCUCAAGAUAAGUUUCCAAUCCUUGUUUUAUUUGAUGCUGGGUUUGAUGUUGAUAGAUCUCGCGUCAGUUUUAACCAUUCAUUCUUUUAUGGGGUGGAAAAGGGAAGCUCACUUACUAUUGUACUCUCUUCCCUCUUCAUUAUUUUUCUUCGUCUGACACUGUCAAGAAUUGUGUACCGAUGAAAUGUGUAUAACAAACUACUUGCAAUCAUUUAUUGUAUGAUUGUGCAGAAAGCGUUGACUUGCUAUGUUUGGAAAUUUAUAACAUGAAUUCUAAUAUUUUGGAAAUUAA